rnacentral:rRNA from 1 species
GAUGAACGCUAGCGGCAGGCCUAAUACAUGCAAGUCGAACGGUGGUAGCAAUACCAUAGUGGCGCACGGGUGCGUAACACGUAACUAACCUACCCAGCACUGGGGGGAUAGCCCGCCGAAAGGCGGAUUAAUACCGCAUAAGAUAGCAGAGGGGCAUCCCUUAGUUAUUAAAGAUUUAUUGGUGUUGGAUGGGGUUGCGGGUCAUUAGCUAGUUGGUUGGGUAACGGCUGACCAAGGCGACGAUGACUAGGGGAGCUGAGAGGCUGGUCCCCCACACGGGCGACUGAGAUACGGGCCCGGACUCCUACGGGAGGCAGCAGUAGGGAAGUAUUGGGCGAAUAGGGCGGAGAGCCUCGA